AACGCUGGCGGCGUGCUUAACACAUGCAAGUCGAACGGAAAGGCCCUGCUUUUGUGGGGUGCUCGAGUGGCGAACGGGUGAGUAACACGUGAGUAACCUGCCCUUGACUUUGGGAUAACUUCAGGAAACUGGGGCUAAUACCGGAUAGGAGCUCCUGCUGCAUGGUGGGGGUUGGAAAGUUUCGGCGGUUGGGGAUGGACUCGCGGCUUAUCAGCUUGUUGGUGGGGUAGUGGCUUACCAAGGCUUUGACGGGUAGCCGGCCUGAGAGGGUGACCGGCCACAUUGGGACUGAGAUACGGCCCAGACUCCUACGGGAGGCAGCAGUGGGGAAUAUUGCACAAUGGGCGGAAGCCUGAUGCAGCAACGCCGCGUGCGGGAUGACGGCCUUCGGGUUGUAAACCGCUUUCGCCUGUGACGAAGCGUGAGUGACGGUAAUGGGUAAAGAAGCACCGGCUAACUACGUGCCAGCAGCCGCGGUGAUACGUAGGGUGCGAGCGUUGUCCGGAUUUAUUGGGCGUAAAGGGCUCGUAGGUGGUUGAUCGCGUCGGAAGUGUAAUCUUGGGGCUUAACCCUGAGCGUGCUUUCGAUACGGGUUGACUUGAGGAAGGUAGGGGAGAAUGGAAUUCCUGGUGGAGCGGUGGAAUGCGCAGAUAUCAGGAGGAACACCAGUGGCGAAGGCGGUUCUCUGGGCCUUUCCUGACGCUGAGGAGCGAAAGCGUGGGGAGCGAACAGGCUUAGAUACCCUGGUAGUCCACGCUGUAAACGGUGGGUACUAGGUGUGGGGUCCAUUCCACGGGUUCCGUGCCGUAGCUAACGCUUUAAGUACCCCGCCUGGGGAGUACGGCCGCAAGGCUAAAACUCAAAGGAAUUGACGGGGCCCCGCACAAGCGGCGGAGCAUGCGGAUUAAUUCGAUGCAACGCGUAGAACCUUACCUGGGUUUGACAUGGAUCGGGAGUGCUCAGAGAUGGGUGUGCCUCUUUUGGGGUCGGUUCACAGGUGGUGCAUGCCUGUCGUCAGCUCGUGUCGCGAGAUGUUGGGUUAAGUCCCGCAACGAGCGCAACCCUUGUUCACUGUUGCCAGCACGUUAUGGUGGGGACUCAGUGGAGACCGCCGGGGUCAACUCGGAGGAAGGUGGGGAUGACGUCAAGUCCUCAUGCCCCUUAUGUCCAGGGCUUCACGCAUGCUACAAUGGCUGGUACAGAGAGUGGCGAGCCUGUGAGGGUGAGCGAAUCUCGGAAAGCCGGUCUCAGUUCGGAUUGGGGUCUGCAACUCGACCUCAUGAAGUCGGAGUCGCUAGUAAUCGCAGAUCAGCAACGCUGCGGUGAAUACGUUCCCGGGGCUUGUACACACCGCCCGUCAAGUCAUGAAAGUUGGUAACACCCGAAGCCGGUGGCCUAACCGUUGUGGGGGAGCCGUCGAAGGUGGGACUGGUGAUUAGG
rnacentral:rRNA from 1 species